rnacentral:rRNA from 1 species
UACGUAGGGUGCGAGCGUUAAUCGGAAUUACUGGGCGUAAAGCGUGCGCAGGCGGUUCGUUGUGUCGGUGGUGAAAGCCCCGGGCUUAACCUGGGAAUGGCAUUGGAAACUGGCUCGCUGGAGUGCGGCAGAGGGGGAUGGAAUUCCGCGUGUAGCAGUGAAAUGCGUAGAUAUGCGGAGGAACACCGAUGGCGAAGGCAAUCCCCUGGGCCUGCACUGACGCUCAUGCACGAAAGCGUGGGGAGCGAACAGG